UACGUAGGGGGCAAGCGUUGUCCGGAAUCAUUGGGCGUAAAGCGCGUGUAGGCGGCUUGGUAAGUCCGCUCUGAAAGCCCGGGGCUCAACCCCGGGAGGCGGGUGGAUACUGUCAAGCUCGAGUCCGGAAGAGGCGAGUGGAAUUCCUGGUGUAGCGGUGAAAUGCGCAGAUAUCAGGAGGAACACCUAUUGCGAAGGCAGCUCGCUGGGACGUUACUGACGCUGAGACGCGAAAGCGUGGGGAGCAAACAGG
rnacentral:rRNA from 1 species